GGAAAUACGUUCUUUGUUAAACUAUGGAAUAAAGUUAAUGAGUAGUAGGUUUGGGUUGGCAAGCACUUCCUUCUUCUAUGUUAAUUCUUUUCACCAAUACAAUCAAUCUAUUAUUAGUGGAUUAAUAUAUGGCUUAAAGUUGUCAUAUUGGUAAUCUUGAAUCUUGUCAUGAAUAAACAGUUAAAGGGCACAGAUUUUUACUUUUUUCUAACUUUACUUACUUUAAUAUUUUGUCAUGAAUAUACAGAUGACGAAGAGCCCAGAUUUUGCCUACUUUGUUUACUUUUCUUUUACUUUAAUCUUUUGUCAUGAAUAUACAGAUGACGAAGAACCCAGAUUUUGCUUACUUUAUUUACUUUAAUCUUUUGUCAUGAAUAUACAGACGAGGAAGAACCCAGAUUUUGCUUACUUCCUUACUUUACCUUUACUUUUUAUAAUCUACAGGUAUAACCACACACCAUUACACACAUCUGAGGCCAAGGAAGGAAGGAAGGAAGGUGAACACUCAAUCAUCAAUUCCAAAAUCAUUCUUCUAAUUGAGGACAAGGAAGGAAGGAAGGAAGGUGAACACUCAAUCAUCAAUUCCAAACUCAUUCUUCUAAUUGAGGACAAGGAAGAAAGGAAGGAAGGAAGGAAGGUGAACACUCAAUCAUCAAUUACAAACUCAUUCUUCUAAUUGAGGACAAGGAAGAAAGGAAGGAAGGAAGGUGAACACUCAAUCAUCAAUUACAAACUCAUUCUUCUAAUUGAGGACAAGGAAGGAAGGAAGGAAGGAAGGAAGGUGAACACUCAAUCAUCAAUUACAAACUCAUUCUUCUAAUUGAGGACAAGGAAGAAAGGAAGGAAGGAAGGAAGGUGAACACUCAAUCAUCAAUUCCAAACUCAUUUUUCUAAUUGAGGACAAGGAAGAAAGGAAGGAAGGAAGGAAGGUGAACACUCAAUCAUCAAUUCCAAACUCAUUCUUCUAAUUGAGGACAAGGAAGGAAGAAAGGAAGGAAGGUGAACACUCAAUCAUCAAUUCCAAACUCAUUCUUCUAAUUGAGGACAAGGAAGGAAGGAAGGAAGGAAGGUGAACACUCAAUCAUCAAUUCCAAACUCAUUCUUCUAAUUGAGGACAAGGAAGGAAGGAAGGAAGGAAGGUGAACACUCAAUCAUCAAUUCCAAACUCAUUCUUCUAAUUGAGGACAAGGAAGGAAGGAAGGAAGGAAGGAAGGUGAACACUCAAUCAUCAAUUCCAAACUCAUUCUUCUAAUUGAGGACAAGGAAGGAAGGAAGGAAGGAAGGUGAACACUCAAUCAUCAAUUCCAAACUCAUUCUUCUAAUUGAGGACAAGGAAGGAAGGAAGGAAGGAAGGAAGGUGAACACUCAAUCAUCAAUUCCAAACUCAUUCUUCUAAUUGAGGACAAGGAAGGAAGGAAGGAAGGAAGGAAGGUGAACACUCAAUCAUCAAUUCCAAACUCAUUCUUCUAAUUGAGGACAAGGAAGGAAGGAAGGAAGGAAGGAAGGUGAACACUCAAUCAUCAAUUACAAACUCAUUCUUCUAAUUGAGGACAAGGAAGGAAGGAAGGAAGGAAGGUGAACACUCAAUCAUCAAUUCCAAACUCAUUCUUCUAAUUGAGGACAAGAAAGGAAGGAGGAAGGAAGGUGAACACUCAAUCAUCAAUUCCAAACUCAUUCUUCUAAUUGAGGACAAGGAAGGAAGGAAGGAAGGAAGGAAGGUGAACACUCAAUCAUCAAUUCCAAACUCAUUCUUCUAAUUGAGGACAAGGAAGGAAGGAAGGAAGGAAGGAAGGUGAACACUCAAUCAUCAAUUCCAAACUCAUUCUUCUAAUUGAGGACAAGGAAGGAAGGAAGGAAGGAAGGUGAACACUCAAUCAUCAAUUCCAAACUCAUUCUUCUAAUUGAGGACAAGGAAGGAAGGAAGGAAGGAAGGAAGGUGAACACUCAAUCAUCAAUUCCAAACUCAUUCUUUUAAUUGAGGACAAGGAAGGAAGGAAGGAAGGAAGGAAGGAAGGUGAACACUCAAUCAUCAAUUCCAAACUCAUUCUUUUAAUUGAGGACAAGGAAGGAAGGAAGGAAGGAAGGAAGGAAGGAAGGUGAACACUCAAUCAUCAAUUCCAAACUCAUUCUUUUAAUUGAGGACAAGGAAGGAAGAAAGGAAGGAAGGUGAACACUCAAUCAUCAAUUCCAAACUCAUUCUUUUAAUUGAGGACAAGGAAGGAAGAAAGGAAGGAAGGUGAACACUCAAUCAUCGAUUCCAAACUCGUUUUUUUAAAGUAAUCAGUUUAUUUGAUACUCAGCAGAACACAAACACAAGAGCUGAACCUCACUCAUUUCUCUUCUUUAUUUUAUCACACAUAGUUUUCUUCCCCUUCCAUUAUUACGACACUUUCGAGGCUUCUCAAGAAUCCCCCUUCGAGAGUAACGCGACUCACUUAAUGACUAAUCUAAGGAUAUGAUAAACGAUAAUAAUAAUAAUUGUGGUCCUGUAACUUUAUCUUCAGAACUGACCUACACAAUAAAACACUCACGAGUACGUUCCACUAAAAUUAAAUCAAUGUAGAUAUCUCGUCUUUUUUUUAGAAUGUUUCACUUACUUCCUCAAAUCACAAUUUCCGAAACACUUGUUGCUUUCGAUUAAAAAAAAAAUUGAUUCGUAUUGUAAUCUUAAGCGAGACAUUCACUCACAAACGACAUGGACACAAAAUUUUGCUCAUUCUUAAAUCGUACCACAAACUUUGGCCCAUGUUGCUUCGAUUUGUACCAAAAGGAAAAACAGUAGCGGUGACAACAAUAGACAGAAGGGAGGAG